AACCGUGCAAAGGUAGCGUAAUCAUUUGUCUACUAAUUAUAGACCUGUAUGAAAGGCAAAAUGAGGAUUUAACUGUCUCUUAUAAUAAAUCAAUUAAACUGAUCUCCUAGUAAAAAAGCUAGAAUAAUAACAUAAGACCAGAAGACCCUGUGAAGCUUAAAUCAAACUAUUAAACCAUAUAAUAACUACUUUCGGUUGGGGCGACCUUGGAAAAAAAAAGAACUUCCAAGACCCAGCACAGCUGAUAAUUGAACCAAGUUACUCCAGGGAUAACAGCGCAAUCUUCUUCAAGAGCCCAUAUCAAAAAGAAGGUUUACGACCUCGAUGUUGGAUCAGGACAUCCUAAUGGUGCAGCCGCUAUUAAGGGUUCGUUUGUUCAACGAUUAACAGUCCUACGUGAUCUGA
rnacentral:rRNA from 1 species